AGAGACAGGGUUUCGCCAUGUUGCCUAGGCUGGUCUCCAACCUGGUCUCCUGGGCUCAAGCGAUCCGCCCGCCUCGGCCUCCCACAGUGCUGGGAUUCCAGGCGUGAGCUACCGCGCCCGGCCUAUUUACUUUUCUUACUAAGCUGGGGAUCACCGUCGCCCUCGGCUUGGCAGGAAGGCGGGGGUGCAAGAAGAAAAGAGGUACAGAACACCCAGAGGUGCCCUCGAUUCCGUCUUGCACUUGCCCUUCUCCCACCGUCCAGCAAUAAAGCGAGAGAAACAAGUGCAGGAAACUGGCCGGCAGUCAUGGGAGAAGCCAAAAAGACAGCCUUGGGGAGCCGGCGGGAUCCAGAGCGGGGCUCCUCUCCGCACUUUGUAGCUGCGUUGCUCCGCUCCAUGCCCUGCCUCAGCCACUCCUCCUGGUUACCAGGCAAAAGGAAACACCUUGAGCUGGCCAGGAGCUACCAGCGUCUGUCUACACCUGGGUGAGCCGUACUGGUCGUAGUGGCCCCACCCUACAAGGAUGCCCUUCCUACAGUAUUACUGAUGGCUGUCUAAUCCGGUUAGCUCCCAGUCACUACACCCCAGCCUCCCAGCGCCUGCAGGUGGAUUGGGUUAUCCUCACAUUUGAGUGAAACUCCUGCACACCAGACACUGAAUCGAGUUGUCUGGGAGCAUCUAACUGCAAG
rnacentral:lncRNA from 10 species